rnacentral:rRNA from 1 species
UACGUAGGGUGCGAGCGUUGUCCGGAAUUAUUGGGCGUAAAGGGCUCGUAGGCGGUCUGUUGCGUCGGGAGUGAAAACUCAGGGCUUAACCCUGAGCCUGCUUCCGAUACGGGCAGACUAGAGGUACGCAGGGGAGAACGGAAUUCCUGGUGUAGCGGUGAAAUGCGCAGAUAUCAGGAGGAACACCGGUGGCGAAGGCGGUUCUCUGGGCAUUACCUGACGCUGAGGAGCGAAAGCGUGGGGAGCAAACGGG